rnacentral:rRNA from 1 species
GGGGGGGGCGGGGGGGGGGCGGAACGCAUGCAAGGCGAACGGAAAGGCCGUGCUUUGGUGGGGUGCUCGAGUGGCGAACGGGUGAGUAACACGUGAGUAACCUGCCCUUGACUUUGGGAUAACUUCAGGAAACUGGGGCUAAUACCGGAUAGGAGCUCCUGCUGCAUGGUGGGGGUUGGAAAGUUUCGGCGGUUGGGGAUGGACUCGCGGCUUAUCAGCUUGUUGGUGGGGUAGUGGCUUACCAAGGCUUUGACGGGUAGCCGGCCUGAGAGGGUGACCGGCCACAUUGGGACUGAGAUACGGCCCAGACUCCUACGGGAGGCAGCAGUGGGGAAUAUUGCACAAUGGGCGGAAGCCUGAUGCAGCAACGCCGCGUGCGGGAUGACGGCCUUCGGGUUGUAAACCGCUUUCGCCUGUGACGAAGCGUGAGUGACGGUAAUGGGUAAAGAAGCACCGGCUAACUACGUG